rnacentral:rRNA from 1 species
UACGGGGGGGGCAAGCGUUGUUCGGAAUUACUGGGCGUAAAGGGCUCGUAGGCGGCCAACUAAGUCAGACAGAAUAACCUCCCGGCUUAACCGGGGAACUGCGUCUGAUACUGGAUGGCUUGAGUUCGGGAGAGGGAUGUGGAAUUCCAGGUGUAGCGGUGAAAUGCGUAGAUAUCUGGAGGAACACCGGUGGCGAAGGCGGCAUCCUGGACCGAUACUGACGCUGAGUGCGAAAGCCAGGGGAGCAAAGC